rnacentral:rRNA from 1 species
UACGAAGGGGGCUAGCGUUGCUCGGAAUCACUGGGCGUAAAGCGCACGUAGGCGGCUUGUUAAGUCAGGGGUGAAAUCCUGGAGCUCAACUCUGGAACUGCCUUUAAGACUGCAUCGCUUGAAUCAUGGAGAGGUCAGUGGAAUUCCGAGUGUAGAGGUGAAAUUCGUAGAUAUUCGGAAGAACACCAGUGGCGAAGGCGACUGACUGGACAUGUAUUGACGCUGAGGUGCGAAAGCGUGGGGAGCAAACAGG